CCGGGUUCGCCAGGGGUCCCGCGCGCUGACGCCGCCCGCGCCAUCUUGACCGAGGGCAGCCUUCCGCUAUUUCCGUUCUUUCCCUGACCCGGACCGCCAUCUUCGAUUGGCCUGGGCCAGAAACACUCAGGACCCUCAGAUUGCAGUGGGUUCCCAGGCCCCACCAGAAAAGAAGAUUAAGUUUGCCAAAGCAGAGACAUACUACUAUUGACGACAUCAAGAAAUGAUGCUGGGAGAAGCAUGGAGAUACAUCAUGGUUCCAAGGUGGGAAAUUAAAAUAGAGAGAGAGAGACCCCAACGUGAAAAAACAGGAGAUGCUAAAAGAUGGGACUUUUAGCACCCGAGAGGGAGCUGGGCCACAUAGAGGAGCACAUAUACCGAGUGGAAUGAGCCAGAGGCCUCAGAGACCACAAGUAUUGGCUCCUCCCUCAAAAGAUUCCAAGUGAAACAGUCUUCCCCAACAUACUAACCCUAGGGAAGGAGGAAAAGACUGAAACUAUCCAGAAAACCCACAAAACUAAGACCACAAAGCACAGGGUGACCUGGGCAAAGGAACAGAUCAAGGGGCAUCAGGAUCGAAUGAUUCAGGGGAGAGAGCUCACGGAGCAGAGAAGCGAGAGACUGCGUGCUUGGAAGAUCUUUGCCCCCGCUCCUCCUCUCCACAGGCCUGCAACUCACAAGGAGGAAGAGAAAGAAUUUGAACGGAUCGCAGCCUACCCGACUGCCCAGCCUUACCAGGAAGCACUCAUCAAAGUGACCAUCCUCAUGGAAAAGUCCAGAAAAGGGGAUAAUGUAAAAAAGCCCCUCCGAUGAGAGCUCUUGAGUAUGCCACCAUUUUUGAGAAGUCAACUAGAGAAAAAUAAAGUUUAUUUUCUGGAUUAUUUUAUUUUUUAGGCUGGCAUACUU